GACAGAGGCCUCAAGCGUUAGGCGGAAUCACUGGGCUUAAAGCGUGUGUAGGCGGAUCGUUAAGUGCCUUGUGAAAUCCCACGGCUUAACUGUGGAACGGCUGGGCAUACUGGCGGUCUUGAGCCAUCUAGGGGCGACUGGAACAAACGGUGGAGCGGUGAAAUGCGUAGAGAUGUGGAGGAACACCGAUGGCGAAGGCAGCCUCCUGGGCCAACACUGACGCUCAUGCACGAAAGCGUGGGGAGCAAACAGG
rnacentral:rRNA from 1 species